UACGUAGGGGGCAAGCGUUGUCCGGAAUCAUUGGGCGUAAAGAGCUUGUAGGCGGUUUGUCGCGUCUGCUGUGAAAAUCCGGGGCUCAACCCCGGACUUGCAGUGGGUACGGGCAGACUAGAGUGUGGUAGGGGAGACUGGAAUUCCUGGUGUAGCGGUGAAAUGCGCAGAUAUCAGGAGGAACACCGAUGGCGAAGGCAGGUCUCUGGGCCACUACUGACGCUGAGACACGAAGGCCAGGGGAGCAAACGGG
rnacentral:rRNA from 1 species